rnacentral:rRNA from 1 species
UCCAGACUCCUACGGGAGGCAGCAGUGAGGAAUAUUGGUCAAUGGUCGGGAGACUGAACCAGCCAAGCCGCGUGAGGGAUGAAGGUACAGAGUAUCGUAAACCUCUUUUGUCAGGGAACAAAGGCGGGGACGCGUCCCCGGAUGAGUGUACCUGAAGAAAAAGCAUCGGCUAACUCCGUGCCAGCAGCCGCGGUAAUACGGAGGAUGCGAGCGUUAUCCGGAUUUAUUGGGUUUAAAGGGUGCGUAGGCGGAAUGCCAAGUCAGCGGUAAAAUCGGGGGGCUCAACCUCGCUCCGCCGUUGAAACUGGCGUUCUUGAGUGGGCGAGAAGUAUGCGGAAUGCGUGGUGUAGCGGUGAAAUGCAUAGAUAUUGCGCAGAACUCCGAUUGCGAAGGCAGCCUACCGGCUCCUGUCUGACGCUGAGGCACGAAAGCGUGGGGAUCGAACAGGAUUAGAUACCCCAGUA